rnacentral:RNase_P_RNA from 1 species
CGGGCGGGUCGGACGAUCGCUGGCCGUUCCGGUUUACCGGAAGGGCGGGAGGAAAGUCCGGACACCGCAGGACAGCGCGCCUGGUAACGCCAGGGGGUUGCUCUUUCAAGGGAGCGGCCACGGAAAGUGCCACAGAGAAUAUACCGCCGGCGCGUCCCGCACAGUGGACGGCUCAUGGCGAAACCAUGGGACGUUCGAAUACGUUGGGACGCGCACGGUAAGGGUGAAAAGGUGGGGUAAGAGCCCACCGCUCGGGCGGCGACGCUCGAGGCAUGGUAAACCCCGCGCGGUGCAAGGCCAAAUAGGAGGGGAGGGCUGGUCCGGCCCGCACCCCGCCUCGCAAGAGGCGGGAGAUGACCCUCGGGUAGGCUGCAUGAGCCGCGCAGCAAUGCACGGCCCAGAGGAAUGAUCGUCCCGGCGCGUUGCCGUUAAGGAGACGCGCAGGACAGAAUCCGGCUUACAGACCUGUCCGCCAU